rnacentral:tRNA from 1 species
AUUUUUAUAGUGUAAACACAACACCCUACAUUUUCAUUGUAGAAACGGCUAAUACCCUAAAAAUU